AAUGAAAUGCCUGAUAAAAGGAUUAUUUUGAUAGAAUAAAAAAUGUAUAUUUAUACUUUCAUUA
rnacentral:tRNA from 1 species